GACGAACGCUGGCGGCGUGCUUAACACAUGCAAGUCGAACGGUAAGGCUCCAGCUUUCUGGGGUACACGAGUGGCGAACGGGUGAGUAACACGUGGGUGACCUGCCCUGCACUUCGGGAUAAGCCUGGGAAACUGGGUCUAAUACCGGAUAGGACCGCACCGUGAGGGUGUGGUGGUAAGUUUUUUCGGUGUUGGAUGGGCCCGCGGCCUAUCAGCUUGUUGGUGGGGUAAUGGGCUACCAAGGGGGCGACGGGUGGCCGGCCUGAGAGGGUGGACGGCCACAUUGGGACUGAGACACGGCGCAGAAUGCUACGGGAGGCAGCAGUGGGGAAUAUUGCACAAUGGGCGGAAGCCUGAUGCAGCGACGCCGCGUGGGGGAUGACGGCCUUCGGGUUGUAAACAACUUUCACCAUAGACGAAGGGUUUCUGACGGUAGAUGGAGAAGAAGCACCGGCUAACUACGUG
rnacentral:rRNA from 1 species